rnacentral:misc_RNA from 1 species
AGAGAGAUGGCAGAAUGUGAGGUGUCUCGCUGGCUCCCUCUUCGGAGGAGAAGAUGCGAGUCCCUUUAAACGUACGUUCGCUCUUUCUUGUGUUUAAGAUGAAGUGUGGUUCUCGAACGCAGUGAUCUGUUUGGAUCGCUUUGCGCUAGUGGGCGACUUCGGUUAGGACAUUAAAAGAAAGCAACCUCUAUUGGCGGUAUGUUAGGCUUCGGCCCGACUUUGCAGCUGACGGUGUGUGGUUUUCUGUUCUUUCCUUGAGGUGUACCUGUUUUAGUGUGAGGCAAUGGUCUGAGCAAAUGGUUAUUGUGUAGUAGAGAGUCACUGCUCUUGAGCGCUCUGUUUCACGGCAGGGUAAAGAAGGCUUACACCAAUUUGGGACUGCUGGUGGUAUUCGUAUCACUGGCGCUUUUUCAAUUGGACCUGAUAUCAGGCAAGAUUACCCGCUGAACUUAAGCAUAUUAAUAAGCGGAGGAAAAGAAACUAACAAGGAUUCCCCUAGUAACGGCGAGUGAAGCGGGAUGAGCUCAAGCUUAAAAUCUCUGUGCCAGUUUGGCAUGGCGAAUUGUAGUCUAUGGAGGCGCUGUCAGUGCGACUAUGCGGGUUAAGUUCCUUGGAAGAGGACAGCAUCGAGGGUGAUACUCCCGUAUGUACCUGUGUAGUUGCGCGUACGACACGUUUUCUUUGAGUCGUGUUGUUUGGGAAUGCAGCACAAAGUAGGUGGUAAAUUCCAUCUAAAGCUAAAUAUUGGUGCGAGACCGAUAGCGAACAAGU